rnacentral:rRNA from 1 species
GACAGAGGGUGCAAACGUUGUUCGGAAUUACUGGGCGUAAAGCGCACGUAGGCGGAUUGCUAAGUCAGGGGUGAAAUCCUGGAGCUCAACUCCAGAACUGCCUUUGAUACUGGCGAUCUUGAGUCCGGGAGAGGUGAGUGGAACUGCGAGUGUAGAGGUGAAAUUCGUAGAUAUUCGCAAGAACACCAGUGGCGAAGGCGGCUAACUGGUCCGGUACUGACGCUGAGGUGCGAAAGCGUGGGGAGCAAACAGG